AGAGUUUGAUCCUGGCUCAGGAUGAACGCUAGCGAUAGGCUUAACACAUGCAAGUCGAGGGGCAUCACGAAUUAGCAAUAGUUUGGUGGCGACCGGCGCACGGGUGCGUAACACGUAUACAACCUACCUUCAAUUGGGGGAUAACCUGGAGAAAUUCGGACUAAUACCCCAUAGUAAACGGAAGAGGCAUCUUUUUUGUUUUAAAGAUUUAUUGAUUGGAGAUGGGUAUGCGUAGGAUUAGCUAGUUGGUAAGGUAACGGCUUACCAAGGCGACGAUCCUUAGGGGUUCUGAGAGGAAGGUCCCCCACACUGGUACUGAGACACGGACCAGACUCCUACGGGAGGCAGCAGUGAGGAAUAUUGGUCAAUGGGCGAGAGCCUGAACCAGCCAAGUCGCGUGAAGGAUGACUGUCUUAUGGAUUGUAAACUUCUUUUGUAGGGGAAUAAAGAGAGGCACGUGUGCCUCAGUGAAUGUACCCUACGAAUAAGCAUCGGCUAACUCCGUGCCAGCAGCCGCGGUAAUACGGAGGAUGCAAGCGUUAUCCGGAUUUAUUGGGUUUAAAGGGUGCGUAGGCGGUAUUACAAGUCAGGGGUGAAAUCUUGGUGCUUAACAUUAAAAUUGCCUUUGAAACUGUGGUACUUGAGUGUAAAAGAGGUAGGCGGAAUGUGUUGUGUAGCGGUGAAAUGCAUAGAUAUAACACAGAACCCCGAUUGCGAAGGCAGCUUACUAUCAUACAACUGACGCUGAUGCACGAAAGCGUGGGGAUCAAACAGGAUUAGAUACCCUGGUAGUCCACGCAGUAAACGAUGAUUACUAGCUGUUAGCGAUAUACUGUUAGUGGCUAAGCGAAAGCGAUAAGUAAUCCACCUGGGGAGUACGUUCGCAAGAAUGAAACUCAAAGGAAUUGACGGGGGCCCGCACAAGCGGAGGAACAUGUG
rnacentral:rRNA from 1 species